AUUUAAGUAAUUUAAUAAAAAUAUUGAUUUGUGGUAUCAAAUAUGUAAUGAUUUACCUUAAAUU
rnacentral:tRNA from 1 species